rnacentral:rRNA from 1 species
AAGCGUUAUCCGGAGUUACUGGGCGUAAAGCGCGUGUGGGCGGCCAGAUAGGUCUGUUGUGAAAACUCGAGGCUCAACCUCGAGCUGUCGGCGGAAACCAUCUGGCUAGAGUCCGGAAGAGGAGAGUGGAAUUCCUGGUGUAGCGGUGAAAUGCGCAGAUAUCAGGAAGAACACCUAUGGCGAAGGCAGCUCUCUGGGACGGUACUGACGCUGAGACGCGAAAGCGUGGGGAGCGAACAGG